AAAAAGGCUUUCUUUGAGGCCACCCUCCUUUUUUUAAAAAAAUUUU
rfam:Camelus ferus unplaced genomic scaffold scaffold1225, whole genome shotgun sequence.